UUUCCGUAGGUGAACCGGCGGAAGGAUCAUUAAAGAGAUCAUGCCCUCACGGGUAGACCUCCCACCCUUUGUUUACAAUACCUUUGUUGCUUUGGCGGGCCCGUUUGGCCCCGCGCUGAACAACCGGCCCCGGCUGGUCAGUGCCCGCCAGAGAACCGAAAACUCUGAAUUAAAUGUCGUCUGAGUACUAUGUAAUAGUUAAAACUUUCAACAACGGAUCUCUUGGUUCUG
rnacentral:misc_RNA from 1 species